ensembl:snoRNA
UGACCAGCUAAUUAAUCUGCUUAUUGGAAUGUGUUUCCACAGAAAUUUAGGAACAGCUGGCAAUAUUGAUGCCAUUUUAAGAGACAUAUAGACAUCUGAGGUUAUUACUGUCCCUCAAAAUGGCUACAAUA